UUUGCAGUUGUCAAAGUAGUACUUAGUGUCUAACUUCUUUCCAUUCUUGGAAUACAUGAUCUUUGAUUUAUCAGAAGUGUUCUUAUCUUUAGCAAAAAAUACGGAUUCUAUUUUUUCAUUGUUAUUGUCUCUAAACUUGAAUCUAUGUUUUUCUUCUUGAAUAACUAACCCAAGAACCUUAUUCAUGUUGGGUAGUUUUUCC
rnacentral:lncRNA from 1 species